rnacentral:lncRNA from 1 species
UGGGAACUAACCUACCCACCCUAUAAAACGGUUCUAACGUACCCCAGCCCCCUCAGGCCACCCGCCUCAUCUCUCAUCUUCCCCAAUUCAGAGACCAUGAACCCUAGCCGCCGCCAAAAUUCCCAAACCCCACUGGCGGCUGCAUGAUCCUCUCAAACUCAAAUUAACACCGCAUGAGCCCCUAGCCACCCCCAUUGUGAAUCCUCACUCUAUUCUCUUCGAAUCCUUCUGGAACUGUUCGAAUUUUAAAUCAAAGGAGGAACCCUAAUAUCUCUAGAGUGUCCAAAGCAUUUUUGGUUGAAGAUUUAGGCUAAGCUUGAGUUUAUUCGUGUGUUCUUUAUAAGAACACACGAUUAAUGUCUGAGUUGGCCAAGAAUCAGAGGAUUUGAAGACCCGGGCUCCAUCUUCACUUACUUAAACUGUGGUAGGAUUUUUUCUCGUUUCCUUUCCUUGGCUAAACCAUUCCUCAUUUUCACUUUUUCUAUUCUGUUUCUUCUUGUUUUCUCGACCCCUCUUUUAUUUUUCUAUUUUCCCUGGAUUGCUUUUGUGAAUGAUAAUUCUAGGUCAGUGACUUAACUUGUUCUUGGUUUUUAAUUUUUUUAAUUUAGAUUCAUUAGUUUAGUCAAUUAGUUAAUGAGACGUUUUAGGCUAAGUUAUUUGAUUUGUUGAAACCAUUUCAGAGUUUGCAAUUUUAACUAAGUUUGUUGUUUGGAAUUUGGGUUGUCUCUGAUUUAAUUGGUAAAGAGAAGCCCAUCCAAAUUAGGUUGGGUCAUUGGGUCAGCUUUGACGCAUUUUGGUUUUGGUUACUGAAGUAAUUUUCAGAAGGUAAAAGGGUAAGUGGGGGUAAUUGGGGAAGGGAAUCUAUCAGUAACUAAUUGGUAAAGCUUCUAGGAAGCUAGGGUUGGGGUUAUUCUAAAUUUCUAGAUCCUACAUUGAGAAUUCCUACGCAAAAAUAAAUUUUUUUGAAGGUUUGAAAUGCAAUUGCGAAUUCAUUGAAGCUGUCCUAAAUGCCUUGCAUAUAAAGUCUCUUUAGCUUGGCAUUCAAGGUAGAGAUUAAGAGAUGAAAAUCCCAAAAAUACCGAAACGACUGAAUCCUCUUGGAAAAUUUUGAGUUCAUUACACUAUUUGUUUAGAAAAAUGCUCAAACUCUUCUCAUUUAGGAGUAUUCUGAUGUCAUAUGGUGAAGAAAACUUAUGAAAAAUCAUAGCCUCUCAUUCUGGGAUUUGAAAUAGAUUGAAGUUUUGUUUUGAAAAGUUCAAGUUCAAACUUUGUUAUGGGUUUACUUUUCCAUUGAUAUUUUGAGUUGAUUUCACUGUUCUGAUUGUUGAAUUUGGGCUGGUUUCUGCUAUUUACUGCUGCUGAUCCCUCGCUUCUUAUUUCCUUUCAUUUCCAGGUAUGUUUUAGAACCACAAGCAACAUGUAAAGAUGUGAAUCUGCACUUCAAAUAUGAAAUACUUUGGAUACCAGUUGCCUUUCCAGUUUAUUUCUUCUGUUUCAUUUUUUUUUGUAUUCUGAUGCAUGUAAAUCUUAUAUUGUGCAUGCUAGUCCCUUUGGCCUGAUUCUAGAGGGGCAUGAGAAUGAAGAUUGGACUCAAACGAGCUGAAGUCCUUGAACAUAUGCAUGUCCUGAUAGUCUUGUAAUAGAAGCAAAGUUUAAGCCUGUGAUUUAUACUAGUUUGUUCAAGUGUUAAUAAUUAACUACUGUUUAUUGUGACUGUUGGGGUUUGCUACUAUUUGACAUUGUAGAUACGAAAUCAUGAGGGACUACUAUUGAGCAUGUUAGUUGAUAUAGUUAGUAUUGAAUGUAGUAGCAGUAAAACCAUGCUUCAGAUUAGUUACUUAACUAGUAUAAGUUGAAUUGUUCUUGUUCGUUAUAAAUUUUCUAUUUAAUAAGCUUGAACCACAUGGUCAUCUAAGCAUGUUAGCAUGAAACCGGAACUUAGCAUAUGAUU